rfam:Anopheles dirus strain WRAIR2 unplaced genomic scaffold supercont1.10, whole genome shotgun sequence.
UCUCGGCCCAGCCUGAAAUUUGCUAAACCUGGUGUAUUCGCAGACAAGGUGAGCAAAUAUUCAGGUGUGUCGACGA